rnacentral:rRNA from 1 species
GAAUUUUGGACAAUGGGCGAAAGCCUGAUCCAGCAAUGCCGCGCGCAGGAGGAAGGCGUUCGGGUUGUAAACUGCUGUUGUACGGAACGAAAAGCUUUGGGUUAAUACCCUGGAGUCAUGACGGCACCGUAAGAAGAAGAACCGGAUAACUACGUGGCAGAAGCCGCGGUAAUACGUAGGGUGCAAGCGUUAAUCGGAAUUACGGGGCGUAAAACGUGCGCAGGCGGUUUUGUAAGACAGAGGUGGAAUCCCCGGGCUCAACCUGGGAACUGCCUUUGUGACUGCAAGGCUAGAGUACGGCAGAGGGGGGUGGAAUUCCGCGUGUAGCAGUGAAAUGCGUAGAUAUGCAGAGGAACACCGAUGGCGAAGGCAACCCCCUGGGCCUGUACUGACGCUCAUGCACGAAAGCGUGGGGAGCAAACA